UGGGGAAUAUUGCACAAUGGGCGCAAGCCUGAUGCAGCCAUGCCGCGUGUAUGAAGAAGGCCUUCGGGUUGUAAAGUACUUUCAGUCGGGAGGAAGGUGUCAAGGUUAAUAACCUUGGCAAUUGACGUUACCGACAGAAGAAGCACCGGCUAACUCCGUGCCAGCAGCCGCGGUAAUACGGAGGGUGCAAGCGUUAAUCGGAAUUACUGGGCGUAAAGCGCACGCAGGCGGUCUGUCAAGUCGGAUGUGAAAUCCCCGGGCUCAACCUGGGAAAUGCAUUCGAAACUGGCAGGCUAGAGUGUUGUAGAGGGGGGUAGAAUUCCAGGUGUAGCGGUGAAAUGCGUAGAGAUCUGGAGGAAUACCGGUGGCGAAGGCGGCCCCCUGGACAAAGACUGACGCUCAGGUGCGAAAGCGUGGGGAGCAAACAGG
rnacentral:rRNA from 1 species